AUAGCUAGGGGUGCCAAUUGGCUGAGAAGGAAAAUCCUAACUCUAAGAACCUGAUAUGGUUAGUACCAUCGGAGGGAAGCAAGUUAAU
rnacentral:ncRNA from 1 species